GUGGGGAAUAUUGGACAAUGGGCGCAAGCCUGAUCCAGCCAUGCCGCGUGAGUGAUGAAGGCCUUAGGGUUGUAAUGCUCUUUCAGUGGGGACGAUAAUGACGGUAACCACAGAAGAAGCCCCGGCUAACUUCGUGUCAGCAGCCGCGGUAAUACGAAGGGGGCUAGCGUUGUUCGGAUUUACUGGGCGUAAAGCGCACGUAGGCGGAUCGUUAAGUCGGGGGUGAAAUCCUGGAGCUCAACUCCAGAACUGCCUUCGAUACUGGCGAUCUUGAGUCCGGAAGAGGUGAGUGGAACUCCUAGUGUAGAGGUGGAAUUCGUAGAUAUUAGGAAGAACACCAGUGGCGAAGGCGGCUCACUGGUCCGGUACUGACGCUGAGGUGCGAAAGCGUGGGGAGCAAACAGGAUUAGAUACCCGGGUAGUCC
rnacentral:rRNA from 1 species